AAAUUGAAGAGUUUGAUCAUGGCUCAGAUUGAACGCUGGCGGCAGGCCUAACACAUGCAAGUCGAACGGUAACAGGAAGAAGCUUGCUUCUUUGCUGACGAGUGGCGGACGGGUGAGUAAUGUCUGGGAAACUGCCUGAUGGAGGGGGAUAACUACUGGAAACGGUAGCUAAUACCGCAUAACGUCGCAAGACCAAAGAGGGGGACCUUCGGGCCUCUUGCCAUCGGAUGUGCCCAGAUGGGAUUAGCUAUACCGCAUAACGUCGCAAGACCAAAGAGGGGACCUUCGGGCCUCUUGCCAUCGGAUGUGCCCAGAUGGGAUUAGCUUGUUGGUGGGGUAACGGCUCACCAAGGCGACGAUCCCUAGCUGGUCUGAGAGGAUGACCAGCCACACUGGAACUGAGACACGGUCCAGACUCCUACGGGAGGCAGCAGUGGGGAAUAUUGCACAAUGGGCGCAAGCCUGAUGCAGCCAUGCCGCGUGUAUGAAGAAGGCCUUCGGGUUGUAAAGUACUUUCAGCGGGGAGGAAGGGAGUAAAGUUAAUACCUUUGCUCAUUGACGUUACCCGCAGAAGAAGCACCGGCUAACUCCGUGCCAGCAGCCGCGGUAAUACGGAGGGUGCAAGCGUUAAUCGGAAUUACUGGGCGUAAAGCGCACGCAGGCGGUUUGUUAAGUCAGAUGUGAAAUCCCCGGGCUCAACCUGGGAACUGCAUCUGAUACUGGCAAGCUUGAGUCUCGUAGAGGGGGGUAGAAUUCCAGGUGUAGCGGUGAAAUGCGUAGAGAUCUGGAGGAAUACCGGUGGCGAAGGCGGCCCCCUGGACGAAGACUGACGCUCAGGUGCGAAAGCGUGGGGAGCAAACAGGAUUAGAUACCCUGGUAGUCCACGCCGUAAACGAUGUCGACUUGGAGGUUGUGCCCUUGAGGCGUGGCUUCCGGAGCUAACGCGUUAAGUCGACCGCCUGGGGAGUACGGCCGCAAGGUUAAAACUCAAAUGAAUUGACGGGGGCCCGCACAAGCGGUGGAGCAUGUGGUUUAAUUCGAUGCAACGCGAAGAACCUUACCUGGUCUUGACAUCCACAGAACUUUCCAGAGAUGGAUUGGUGCCUUCGGGAACUGUGAGACAGGUGCUGCAUGGCUGUCGUCAGCUCGUGUUGUGAAAUGUUGGGUUAAGUCCCGCAACGAGCGCAACCCUUAUCCUUUGUUGCCAGCGGUCCGGCCGGGAACUCAAAGGAGACUGCCAGUGAUAAACUGGAGGAAGGUGGGGAUGACGUCAAGUCAUCAUGGCCCUUACGACCAGGGCUACACACGUGCUACAAUGGCGCAUACAAAGAGAAGCGACCUCGCGAGAGCAAGCGGACCUCAUAAAGUGCGUCGUAGUCCGGAUUGGAGUCUGCAACUCGACUCCAUGAAGUCGGAAUCGCUAGUAAUCGUGGAUCAGAAUGCCACGGUGAAUACGUUCCCGGGCCUUGUACACACCGCCCGUCACACCAUGGGAGUGGGUUGCAAAAGAAGUAGGUAGCUUAACCUUCGGGAGGGCGCUUACCACUUUGUGAUUCAUGACUGGGGUGAAGUCGUAACAAGGUAACCGUAGGGGAACCUGCGGUUGGAUCACCUCCUUA
rnacentral:rRNA from 1 species